AAGUAUAAAGAUGAUUGGCUUUAGUGCAAAUGGAAGAUUGAAAGAAUAAUAUCCUACAAGCCAAUCGCAUACAGGAUACGAUCAAAUAUUUUCUAUAAUUUAUCUUCCAAACUCAUGUAAUUGAUAUUGAUAUUUAAUAAUAUAGAUAUUUCAAUUCAUCAUAUGCUGCAUCUUAUUAUUAUUUUUAAGAUUAUAAAGAAUCCCAUAGGUCUGGAUAAUGGUUUUAGGGCCAUGAUGAGAUUAUACCAGUG
rnacentral:lncRNA from 1 species